rnacentral:rRNA from 1 species
UACGUAGGGGGCAAGCGUUGUCCGGAAUUACUGGGCGUAAAGCGCGUGUAGGCGGGACGGCAAGUCUGGCGUGAAAGGCUCGGGCUCAACCCGAGAUGGCCGCUGGAAACUGCCGUUCUUGAGGUCGAAGAGGAGAGUGGAAUUCCGGUGUAGCGGUGAAAUGCGUAGAUAUCGGAAGGAACACCAGUGGCGAAAGCGGCUUCCUGGUCCAGCACCGACGUUCAGGCACGAAAGCGUGGGGAGCAAACAGGG